UCUGCCCCCCCCCCCUCUCUCACUCUCACCCACGUCGAAACAUGUCUCUCCCUCCCUCUCCCUUUCGGCCGUCGGUCUAUCUCCCUUCUGGUCGUCGAGUCUCUCCCUUCCUCUCCCUUCUCUUCCAGCCGUCGGUCUGGCUCCCUUUCGGCAGCCCUUGGAUCGGUCCGGCGCAAGCAUUAUCCACCGGCGUCUCUUUGUCUCUCGGCUUGUCCGAUCCGAUCGUGUCUUGCUUUCUCCCUUUCUGGCCAUCUCUCUCAUUCUCCCGCCCAUGCAACCGAUCGUCCUCCAUUGCAGCUUCUUUCAUUCUCUCAAGAACUCUGUAAAGCACUGAUUUACAAAAAUCCAACCGUCUGAUAUUCGAUCCGAGCGUAUUUUUACUGUGAAAGUGGCCCCGAUCUACAAAAAGAUCUAUUCUCUGUUCGCGUCAAAUUUGCCCAAUGUAGGGGAGGGGGGAGGCUGCCCCAUUUUUUCACAAAUCAAACCCACAAGAUUGGCAACAUUGAUGAUGUCAUUCCCCAAACUGUUGUUGUCCAGAAUCCUAUGUAGGUUGAUGAAAGUGGCAAAUUGGUGAGCAAUGUUGUUCGAGUGACUACAGAGAAGAAGUGAUUCCGACUAACUUCACAUUUGCCUUGUGGAAUACCAAUCCGUAGAUAUUAGUUCAAGAUUAUUGUGUCCUUCAGGAGUGAAGAUGGAUAUAUAUGGAGAUACAUUGUGCAUAUAAGAGUGAAAUUGGCAUUACAACAUUGCAGAUAUGUAAGGGUCUUAAAGAAAUCGAACUGAUUGAUUUGGAUUGAGAGGACAAGAAUGGGAAAUACAUGACAUUUGUGGCA